GAACCACCGGAAUCAGUCAGCAACUAAGCCCGUCUUGUACGCACCAAUCCAUCCAUCUAGGACCAGCAACGGGGUCAGCAGGAGCGCCAGUCCCUACCCGGAGACGAACGGAGCGCGAGAUCCACAGUUCAGCGCCCACAACAAACGAAUCUAAUGGGGCCGGCCACCCGCACGCAGACGCGGCCGUGGGGCGAAGGGAGCGGUCGGCGAUGGGGCUUCGCAUGAGAGGAGGAGGGGGAGGGCAUGACCGGUGGUUGAUUGGGUGGUUAGUUACCUUGCCUCGAAGAGGAAGACCUCGGCGAGGCCGGCGGCG
rnacentral:lncRNA from 1 species